UACAGAGGGGGCAAGCGUUGUUCGGAAUUACUGGGCGUAAAGGGCGCGUAGGCGGCCUGUUAAGUCGAACGUGAAAUCCCCGGGCUCAACCCGGGAACUGCGUCCGAUACUGGCAGGCUUGAAUCCGGGAGAGGGAUGCGGAAUUCCAGGUGUAGCGGUGAAAUGCGUAGAUAUCUGGAGGAACACCGGUGGCGAAGGCGGCAUCCUGGACCGGCAUUGACGCUGAGGAGCGAAAGCAUGGGGAGCAAACAGG
rnacentral:rRNA from 1 species